rnacentral:rRNA from 1 species
CCUACGGGAGGCAGCAGUGAGGAAUAUUGGUCAAUGGGCGAGAGCCUGAACCAGCCAAGUCGCGUGAGGGAGUACUGCCCUAUGGGUUGUAAACCUCUUUUGUCGGGGAGCAAAAGCCGGACGUGUCCGGCUGUGAGAGUACCCGAAGAAAAAGCAUCGGCUAACUCCGUGCCAGCAGCCGCGGUAAUACGGAGGAUGCGAGCGUUAUCCGGAUUUAUUGGGUUUAAAGGGUGCGCAGGCGGACUUUUAAGUCAGCGGUAAAAUCGUGGGGCUCAACCCCAUCCAGCCGUUGAAACUGGGGAUCUAGAGUGUGCGAGAGGUAUGCGGAAUGCGUGGUGUAGCGGUGAAAUGCAUAGAUAUCACGCAGAACCCCGAUUGCGAAGGCAGCAUACCGGUGCACAACUGACGCUCAGGCACGAAAGCGUGGGUAUCGAACAGGAUUAGAUACCCGGGUAGUC